UACGGAGGGUGCAAGCGUUAUCCGGAUUUACUGGGUUUAAAGGGUGCGUAGGCGGACAGGUAAGUCCGUGGUGAACUCUCUGAGCUUAACUCAGAAACUGCCAUGGAUACUAUUUGUCUUGAAUACUGUGGAGGUAAGCGGAAUAUGUCAUGUAGCGGUGAAAUGCUUAGAGAUGACAUGGAACAACAAUUGCGAAGGCAGCUUACUACGCAAAUAUUGACGCUGAGGCACGAAAGCGUGGGGAUCAAACAGG
rnacentral:rRNA from 1 species